GCUAGGAUCUCCCAGAACGUAGUCACUCAAUUAAACAGCGUAUACUGCUAGCAAAAGGAUUCUUUAAGACCAUAUCAGUGACGAUUUAGUCUUGAACUCGGCAUUUCAUUCUUCCUUGGUUCUCUGGAUUCCAUCCGUAAGCUCCAGGUGCCAUUUGAAUCAGUACCUUUCUGUGUUGAAUGUAUCUGUGUCAAGUUCAAUUCUUCCUUAUCAUCUGCUUUGUUCAGGCUGUUUUCGUUGAUUGAUUUCUUAGGCCUCAACGUUUCCAGCUGUACUACUUUUCUGUACAAUUUAUGCUCCUCGGAAGUUAUACAGAAUUUAUGAUUUUUAAAACCUGAGAUAUAUCUGCUUUUUAUUUUCUCAUCAUUUCAACAAUUAUCACCUUUGUAUAUGAUUAAAUCUUCAUAAACAGGGUCUUCUAACAUCAAGCACCCUGAUUAGUUAUUUAGUCAUUUCAAAAGGUUUUUAGUCAAGUAUCCUUCUUUAAUAUGUAUUGGUAACUCCUAAAACAGAGAUUCAACAUGUUAGGAUUUUUGUAGGAUGGGAUAUAUUUGUACUUCUUUUUACUAGAGAAUCAGGUCUAGUGUUUGAAGUCCAGUUCAUUAUAUUUGCAGGCCAGGCGCAGUGGCUCACGCCUAUAAUCCCAGCACUUUGAGAGGCCAAGGUGGGCAGACAGCUUGAGCCCAAGAGUUUGAGACCAGCCCGAGCAACACAGCAAAACCUCAUCUCUACAAAAAACACAAAAAUUGGCCGGGCAUGGUGGGGCAUGCCUGUAGUGCCAGCUAGUUGGGAGAGUGAGGUGGGGAAGAUCGCCAGAGCCUGGGAGGUUGAAGCUACAGUGAACUGUGAUCACACUCCUGCACGCCAGAUUGAGCAACACAGUGAGACCCUGUCUCAAACAAACAAACAAUCCUCACCUGCAAAUUAUUUUCAGUUACAAUCCUUGACAUAAGUAUAUUCUCAUGCCUCUAUGUCAGUGUCAUACAAGGAGAAUCCAUUAGGAUUUUUCCCCUGAUUAAAUUUCAAGGAAAUCCAGAGAGUCCUCAUUACACAUGGUGAGUGUGUUUCCUCAAGGAGGUACAGUACUUGGCAUCUCUUAGAUGACUGUGACUCACUGCUUCGUCUGGCUGCUAUACAAGACCUCACUCUGUUGCCCAGGCUGGAGUGCAGUGGCACCUUUACAGCUCACUGCAGCCUUGACUUCCUGGGCUCAAGCCAUGUUCCCGCCUCAGCCUCCCGAGUAGCUGGGACUACAGGCAAGCACCACUAUGCUGAGAUAAUUAUUAAAUUUUUUGUAGAGAUGAAGUCUCACUAUAUUGCCCAGGCUGGUCUCAAACUUAUGGGCUCAAACAAUCCUCCCAUCUCGGCUUCUCAAAGUGCUGGGAUUGUAGGCGUGAGCCACCACGUCCAGCUGAGCAUUUUUUUGGUGAAGGAAAAAACUAGAUGACAACUAGAAUAUUAUCUGGAUAUUUCCAAACAUGACAUGAGUUGCCCUGAAAUAUCCAGCUAAGUGAUGCUGGAGUGUCUUCUGAGAGGCUACCUGAAUUAUUUGGAACAUUUACAAGUGAAUAGCGGAUAUGGCUAUACAUAGACUUAGUCUGUGUUUGUUUCCGCACAGAACCAAAAUUAAGGAAAGGGGACAGUCACAAAACACAUUCUAGAGCUCCUCUUGCUUCCCCCAUAGCUUCCCUAUGCUUCCCUGAGGCAAAGAAAACCUCGUUGUCAAACAGGAUUCCACUACUGGGCUGAGUUGUAGGUACAAAUUUCAGUCCUUUAUUUCUUACACAUUGCAAACUUUGUUUUCUGUAUUUCAGUUUUUACUU
rnacentral:lncRNA from 10 species